rnacentral:rRNA from 1 species
UACGUAGGGGCAAGCGUUGUCCGGAAUUAUUGGGCGUAAAGCGCGCGCAGGCGGUCCUUUAAGUCUGAUGUGAAAGCCCACGGCUUAACCGUGGAGGGUCAUUGGAAACUGAGGGACUUGAGUACAGAAGAGGAGAGUGGAAUUCCACGUGUAGCGGUGAAAUGCGUAGAGAUGUGGAGGAACACCAGUGGCGAAGGCGACUUUCUGGUCUAUUAUUGACGCUGAGGCUCGAAAGCAUGGGUAGCAAACAGGAUUAGAUACCCGGGUAGU